rnacentral:rRNA from 1 species
CGGGACGGGUGAGUAAUGUCUGGGAAACUGCCUGAUGGAGGGGGAUAACUGCUGGAAACGGUAGCUAAUACCGCAUAACGUCGCAAGACCAAAGAGGGGGACCUUCGGGCCUCUUGCCAUCGGAUGUGCCCAGAUGGGAUUAGCUAGUAGGUGGGGUAACGGCUCACCUAGGCGACGAUCCCUAGCUGGUCUGAGAGGAUGACCAGCCACACUGGAACUGGGACACGGUCCAG